AUCCAGCUGACGAGUCUUAAACAGUACGAAACAUGAGUCCUGGAU
rnacentral:hammerhead_ribozyme from 1 species